rnacentral:rRNA from 1 species
ACACAAGCCUGUUCUCCCCAGAUCCCCUCCUCGUCCCCGAUUCGAUUCGAUUCCCCGCAUCGGCCGGUACCAAUCCGGCGCCCGCCACCCCACACUCCGCCGAUGUUCCUCCGAUCGCGCCGCCUGUGAUCACCCCGCUCUCUUCUCUCUCGCCAGCUCAGCCAGCCGCCGGUUAGGAUCGGGGCCGGGGGAGCGCGAUGGCCGCGCCGCCGGCUAGGGCCCGCGCCGACUACGACUACCUCAUCAAGCUCCUCCUCAUCGGCGACAGCGGUGUUGGCAAGAGUUGCCUCCUCCUACGGUUCUCUGAUGGCUCCUUCACUACUAGUUUUAUUACUACAAUAGGUAUUGACUUCAAGAUAAGAACAAUUGAACUGGAUGGCAAGCGCAUUAAGUUGCAAAUUUGGGAUACAGCCGGUCAAGAGCGAUUCAGGACUAUCACGACAGCAUACUACCGGGGAGCCAUGGGAAUCUUGCUUGUUUAUGAUGUCACGGAUGAGUCAUCUUUCAACAACAUACGGAACUGGAUACGCAACAUUGAGCAACAUGCCUCUGAUAAUGUGAACAAAAUUUUGAUAGGCAACAAGGCUGAUAUGGAUGAGAGUAAAAGGGCUGUUUCUACUGCAAAGGGACAAGCACUAGCGGAUGAAUAUGGCAUCCAGUUCUUUGAAACUAGUGCCAAGACAAACCUCAAUGUUGAGCAAGUUUUCUUUUCCAUUGCCCGAGAUAUUAAGCAGAGGCUUGCUGAGACUGAUUCCAAGCCCGAGGACCAGACGAUCAAGAUUAACAAGACAGAAGGUUCUGAGAAUCCAGAAUCUCAGAAAUCUGCUUGCUGUGGCUCAUGAGGAAUACGUGGACUUCUACCAUGGGCUGUUUUAACUUUAUCUGUUUAUUACUGUCAGCUUGUUAUUAUAGGAACUGUAAGACUUAAGGAGAUGACUAUGUUGUGGUUGUUGUGUUACCUUCUAUAUUCUUUGCAGCAGCAACUAUUACUUUUAAUGUAGUUUUUGUGAUUUCUAGGGGUGAUUGCAUGUUGUAUUGCCAUCGUGAGAACCAUCCACUUGCUGCUGAUGUAACUGCAUUUCAGUUUUUCAAUCGGUUGGUUGCUACAUCUGCAAAACUCCAUUGAGCUCCAUUUGCGCGUCGUGCUACACUUUAGUUGAAUGCUGCACUAGCCAUGGACAACUUUUUGCUAGGAUGCUUUCCCCGAUGAGCACCCGCCAUCCUUCGGUGGAUAAUGAAUGACCAUAAUUAUUUGAGCAAGCAAAAUCAUUCCUGAGGAAGUUAAUUCGAGCUCCCUUUUCUACAAACAUGCAAACUGCAUGAAUUGCAAAUAU